GCGUGUCGUGGUUUUAUAUGUGAUAAAAAAUCAUGUUAAUUUACAUAAACUUUAGCUUUGAUUUUCUCGGUUUAGACAAAGUUUAUUUUAAAAAUUACUUCGCCAAUGAACUCGUAUAUGAUGAGUCGUUUUUUAAGUUAUUUAAAGCACUUGUAGUCGUGUUUUAUCACAUAUAAACCACUCCGCUACGCGUCGUGUUUUAUAUGUGAUAAAACACUCCUACGCGUGCUUUAAAUAGU